rnacentral:rRNA from 1 species
UACGUAGGGUGCGAGCGUUUAAUCGGAAUUACUGGGCGUAAAGCGUGCGUAGGCGGUUCGCUGUGUCCGAUGUGAAAGCCCCGGGCUUAACCUGGGAAUGGCAUUGGAAACUGGCGGGCUUGAGUGUGGCAGAGGGGGGUGGAAUUCCGGCGUGUAGCAGUGAAAUGCGUAGGAGAUGCGGAGGAACACCGAUGGCGAAGGCAGCCCCCGGGUUAACACUGACGCUCAGGCACGAAAGCGUGGGGAGCAAACAGGG